rnacentral:rRNA from 1 species
UACGUAGGGGGCAAGCGUUGUCCGGAUUUAUUGGGCGUAAAGAGCGUGUAGGCGGCCAGACAGGUCCGUUGUGAAAACUCGAGGCUCAACCUCGAGACGCCGAUGGAAACCGUCUGGCUAGAGUCCGGAAGAGGAGAGUGGAAUUCCUGGUGUAGCGGUGAAAUGCGCAGAUAUCAGGAGGAACACCUGUGGCGAAAGCGGCUCUCUGGGUCCCUACCGACGCUGGGGUGCGAAAGCAUGGGGAGCGAACAGG